AUACGUAGGGGGCGAGCGUUGUCCGGAAUGAUUGGGCGUAAAGGGCGCGUAGGCGGCCCGGUAAGUCUGGAGUGAAAGUCCUGUUUUUAAGAUGGGAAUUGCUUUGGAUACUGUCGGGCUUGAGUGCAGGAGAGGUAAGUGGAAUUCCCAGUGUAGCGGUGAAAUGCGUAGAGAUUGGGAGGAACACCAGUGGCGAAGGCGACUUACUGGACUGUAACUGACGCUGAGGCGCGAAAGUGUGGGGGGCAAACAGGAUUAGAUACCCUGGUAGUCCACACUGUAAACGAUGAAUGCUAGGUGUAGGGGGUAUCGACCCCUUCUGUGCCGCAGUCAACACAAUAAGCAUUCCGCCUGGGGAGUACGGCCGCAAGGUUGAAACUUAAAGGAAUUGGCGGGG
rnacentral:rRNA from 1 species